GACGAACCGUGCGAACGUUGUUCGGAAUCACUGGGCUUAAAGGGCGCGUAGGCGGGCUAUCAAGUCCGGGGUGAAAUCCUCCAGCUCAACUGGAGAACGGCCUCGGAUACUGAUGGUCUCGAGGGAGAUAGGGGCACGCGGAACUGUGGGUGGAGCGGUGAAAUGCGUUGAUAUCCAUAGGAACUCCGGUGGCGAAGGCGGCGUGCUGGAUCUCUUCUGACGCUGAGGCGCGAAAGCCAGGGGAGCGAACGGG
rnacentral:rRNA from 1 species